rnacentral:rRNA from 1 species
AGAGUUUGAUUCUGGCUCAGGAUGAACGCUAGCGACAGGCUUAACACAUGCAAGUCGAGGGGCAGCACGGGAGUAGCAAUACUUGGUGGCGACCGGCGCGACGGGUGAGUAACGCGUAUGCAACCUACCUAUCAGGAGGGGAAUAACCCGGCGAAAGUCGGACUAAUACCGCAUAAAACAGGGGCACCGCAUGGUGAUAUUUGUUAAAGAAAUUCGCUGAUAGAUGGGCAUGCGUUCCAUUAGGUAGUUGGUGAGGUAACGGCUCACCAAGCCGACGAUGGAUAGGGAACUGAGAGGUUGGUCCCCCACACUGGUACUGAGACACGGACCAGACUCCUACGGGAGGCAGCAGUGAGGAAUAUUGGUCAAUGGGCGGGAGCCUGAACCAGCCAAGUCGCGUGAAGGAAGAAGGAUCUAUGGUUCGUAAACUUCUUUUGCAGGGGAAUAAAGUGCAGGACGUGUCCUGUUUUGUAUGUACCCUGAGAAUAAGGAUCGGCUAACUCCGUGCCAGCCGCAGC